AUGCGCGAAAGCGUGACGAGGUUAAUCCGAGUGGCUUCCGCUGAGGAAGUCUUUUGCCGACUUUAAAAAGGUCGGAGAAUAAGGGGAGGGCAAGUCUGGUGUCAGCCGCCGCGGUAAUACCAGCUCCUCGAGUGGUCGGGGCGAUUAUUGGGCCUAAAGCAUCCGUAGCCGGUUCCGUAGGUCUCCUGCAAAAUCCAGUCGCUCAACGAUUGGCCCGCAGGAGAUACCGCGGGACUAGGAGGCGGGAGAGGUGGACGGUACUCCACGUGUAGGGGUAAAAUCCUUUGAUCCGUGGAAGACCACCAGAUUGCUUGCGGUUAAUGACCACAGGCACGGUGAAUGGCGAAGGCGGUCCACCAGAACGCGCUCGACGGUGAGGGAUGAAAGCUGGGGGAGCGAACCGGAUUAGAUACCCGGGUAGUCC
rnacentral:rRNA from 1 species